CCAAUUUUAUAUGUUAGUUUGCCUGUGGCUUCUGUCACUGGUAUUAACUACUAUGUAAACGUUGAACUAGAUCAAUUGGUGUGGAUUGCUUGGGAAUGGACGAAGCGACAAGCCUCUUCCGGACAGGCAAGCCCCACACUGAUAACCUUUUUCAUAUCAUUUACUCGUACAUACUACAAACAACAACAACAAAAGCUAUAAUAGGACUUAUUAACGGCUGAGUGGGUAACAUCCUCGGCUUAUACAUAUAACUAUUA
rnacentral:misc_RNA from 1 species